UACGUAGGUGGCAAGCGUUGUCCGGAUUUACUGGGCGUAAAGAGCGCGCAGGCGGUCGUUCAAGUCGCGUGUGAAAGCCCCCGGCUCAACUGGGGAGGGUCACGCGAUACUGAUCGACUCGAAGGCAGGAGAGGGUAGUGGAAUUCCCGGUGUAGUGGUGAAAUGCGUAGAUAUCAGGAGGAACACCUGCGGUGUAGACGGCUUACUGGACCACGACUGACGCUGCAACUCGAAAGUGUGGGGAGCAAACAGG
rnacentral:rRNA from 1 species